UACGAAGGGGGCUAGCGUUGUUCGGAAUUACUGGGCGUAAAGGGCGCGUAGGCGGUACUUCAAGUCAGGCGUGAAAGCCCCGGGCUCAACCUGGGAACCGCGCUUGAGACUGGAGAACUAGAGUUCGGGAGAGGAUGGUGGAAUUCCCAGUGUAGAGGUGAAAUUCGUAGAUAUUGGGAAGAACACCGAUGGCGAAGGCAGCCAUCUGGACCGACACUGACGCUGAGACGCGAAAGCGUGGGGAGCAAACAGG
rnacentral:rRNA from 1 species